rnacentral:rRNA from 1 species
UACAGAGGGUGCAAGCGUUGUUCGGAAUUACUGGGCGUAAAGCGCGCGCAGGCGGUUCUUUAAGUCAGGGGUGAAAGCCCAGAGCUCAACUCUGGAAUUGCCUUUGAAACUAGAGAACUUGGGUACGGGAGAGGUGAGUGGAAUUCCGAGUGUAGAGGUGAAAUUCGUAGAUAUUCGGAAGAACACCAGUGGCGAAGGCGGCUCACUGGCCCGUUACCGACGCUCAGGCGCGACAGCGUGGGGAGCAAACAGG